GGGAAAAUGGAUAAUAAUGAAGCCCACAGAUUUUCACUCCAGAACUGACUUUGCUGCAGAGGAGUGAGGAGAGCUGCCUGGCAACGCAACGCAUCGCUGUGCAUAAACUUUGUUUACAGCCAAGGCUGGAGUAAAGGAACAGAUGGCAAGAAAAUCGGAUUUAAAGAAAGGAAGGAUGUGCUUGCAUCUGGGAGCUCGGUAAAUCUCUUGGCUUCUGGUGUGCGUACAAGGGUGACGUCUAGCUACCCCAGCAGUCGCGUCCCAGUUUGCUGUUGAUUUUUGCCUGUUUGGAUCUGUCUCUGAGGAUGGUUAAUACAUCUUAUUACAAGCAUUUAUCUCAUCCCUCCCACAGGAAAUGUGUUUUCCCAGGGAUUUGUAUGUUCCCUAACCUUUUAUGGAAAGCAGUUUCUUGAUCAUCCAUGUGAUUGUGUAUCUAAAAUUUCAAGAAUAUUUAAGCUGUUAAUCCUGCUUGUCUGUAGAAGAUGGGUUUAUAUUUCUAUGAUCUUGGAAAUAUUUACAAUGAGCAUGUAUAACAAGGAGAAAUAAGCAUAAACAUUUAUGCCUGCCACAUUCGUAA
rnacentral:lncRNA from 1 species